CGGCGCCGGAGGAUGGGUCUGCGGCCUAUCAGGUAGUAGUGGGUGUAGCGUACCUACUAGCCUACGACGGGUACGGGUUGUGAGAGCAAGAGCCCGGAGAUGGAUUCUGAGACACGAAUCCAGGCCCUACGGGGUGCAGCAGGCGCGAAAACUUUACAAUGCCGGCAACGGCGAUAAGGGGACCUCGAGUGCCAGGUUACAAAUCUGGCUGUCGUGAUGCCUAAAAAGCAUUGCAUAGCAAGGGCCGGGCAAGACCGGUGCCAGCCGCCGCGGUAACACCGGCGGCUCGAGUGGUAACCGUUAUUAUUGGGUCUAAAGGGUCUGUAGCCGGCCGGAUAAGUCUCUUGGGAAAUCCAGCAGCUCAACUGUUGGGCUUUCAGGAGAUACUGUCUGGCUCGAGGCCGGGAGAGGUGAGAGGUACUUCAGGGGUAGGGGUGAAAUCUUGUAAUCCUUGAAGGACCACCAGUGGCGAAGGCGUCUCACCAGAACGGACCUGACGGCAAGGGACGAAAGCUAGGGGCACGAACCGGAUUAGAUACCCGGGUAGUCCUAGCCGUAAACGAUACUCGCUAGGUGUCGGCCACGGUGCGACCGUUGUCGUUGCCGUAGGGAAGCCAUGAAGCGAGCCACCUGGGAAGUACGGCCGCAAGGCUGAAACUUAAAGGAAUUGGCGGGGGAGCACCACAACGGGUGGAGCUUGCGGUUUAAUUGGAUCCAACGCCGGAAAUCUUACCGGGACCGACAGCAAUAUGAAGGCCAGGCUGAAGACUUUGCCGGAUUAGCUGAGAGGUGGUGCAUGGCCGUCGUCAGUUCGUACUGUGAAGCAUCCUGUUAAGUCAGGCAACGAGCGAGACCCACGCCCACAGUUGCCAGCGUACUCUCCGGAGUGACGGGUACACUGUGGGGACCGCCGCUGCUAAAGCGGAGGAAGGAAUGGGCAACGGUAGGUCAGUAUGCCCCGAAUAUCCCGGGCUACACGCGAGCUACAAUGGUUGGUACAAUGGGUAUCUACCCCGAAAGGGGAUGGAAAUCUCCUAAAGCCAAUCUUAGUUCGGAUUGAGGGCUGCAACUCGCCCUCAUGAAGCUGGAAUCCGUAGUAAUCGCGUUUCAACAGAACGCGGUGAAUACGUCCCUGCUCCUUCACACACCGCCCGUCAAACCACCCGAGUAGGGUCUGAAUGAGAGCGCUUCCUUCGGAGGCGUUCGAAUUUGGG
rnacentral:rRNA from 1 species